rnacentral:tRNA from 1 species
CGAGGAGUGUCUAAAACACAAAGAACUGCUAA